rnacentral:rRNA from 1 species
UGCGAAUGCUGACAUAAGUAACGAUAAAGCGGGUGAAAAGCCCGCUCGCCGGAAGACCAAGGGUUCCUGUCCAACGUUAAUCGGGGCAGGGUGAGUCGACCCCUAAGGCGAGGCCGAAAGGCGUAGUCGAUGGGAAACAGGUUAAUAUUCCUGUACUUGGUGUUACUGCGAAGGGGGGACGGAGAAGGCUAUGUUGGCCGGGCGACGGUUGUCCCGGUUUAAGCGUGUAGGCUGGUUUUCCAGGCAAAUCCGGAAAACUAAGGCUGAGGCGUGAUGACGAGGCACUACGGUGCUGAAGCAACAAAUGCCCUGCUUCCAGGAAAAGCCUCUAAGCAUCAGGUAACAUCAAAUCGUACCCCAAACCGACACAGGUGGUCAGGUAGAGAAUACCAAGGCGCUUGAGAGAACUCGGGUGAAGGAACUAGGCAAAAUGGUGCCGUAACUUCGGGAGAAGGCACGCUGAUAUGUAGGUGAAGCGACUUGCUCGUGGAGCUGAAAUCAGUCGAAGAUACCAGCUGGCUGCAACUGUUUAUUAAAAACACAGCACUGUGCAAACACGAAAGUGGACGUAUACGGUGUGACGCCUGCCCGGUGCCGGAAGGUUAAUUGAUGGGGUUAGCGCAAGCGAAGCUCUUGAUCGAAGCCCCGGUAAACGGCGGCCGUAACUAUAACGGUCCUAAGGUAGCGAAAUUCCUUGUCGGGUAAGUUCCGACCUGCACGAAUGGCGUAAUGAUGGCCAGGCUGUCUCCACCCGAGACUCAGUGAAAUUGAACUCGCUGUGAAGAUGCAGUGUACCCGCGGCAAGACGGAAAGACCCCGUGAACCUUUACUAUAGCUUGACACUGAACAUUGAGCCUUGAUGUGUAGGAUAGGUGGGAGGCUUUGAAGUGUGGACGCCAGUCUGCAUGGAGCCGACCUUGAAAUACCACCCUUUAAUGUUUGAUGUUCUAACGUUGACCCGUAAUCCGGGUUGCGGACAGUGUCUGGUGGGUAGUUUGACUGGGGCGGUCUCCUCCUAAAGAGUAACGGAGGAGCACGAAGGUUGGCUAAUCCUGGUCGGACAUCAGGAGGUUAGUGCAAUGGCAUAAGCCAGCUUGACUGCGAGCGUGACGGCGCGAGCAGGUGCGAAAGCAGGUCAUAGUGAUCCGGUGGUUCUGAAUGGAAGGGCCAUCGCUCAACGGAUAAAAGGUACUCCGGGGAUAACAGGCUGAUACCGCCCAAGAGUUCAUAUCGACGGCGGUGUUUGGCACCUCGAUGUCGGCUCAUCACAUCCUGGGGCUGAAGUAGGUCCCAAGGGUAUGGCUGUUCGCCAUUUAAAGUGGUACGCGAGCUGGGUUUAGAACGUCGUGAGACAGUUCGGUCCCUAUCUGCCGUGGGCGCUGGAGAACUGAGGGGGGCUGCUCCUAGUACGAGAGGACCGGAGUGGACGCAUCACUGGUGUUCGGGUUGUCAUGCCAAUGGCACUGCCCGGUAGCUAAAUGCGGAAGAGAUAAGUGCUGAAAGCAUCUAAGCACGAAACUUGCCCCGAGAUGAGUUCUCCCUGACUCCUUGAGAGUCCUGAAGGAACGUUGAAGACGACGACGUUGAUAGGCCGGGUGUGUAAGCGCAGCGAUGCGUUGAGCUAACCGGUACUAAUGAACCGUGAGGCUUAACCUUACAACGCCGAAGGUGUUU